GUGGUGUUCAAUGCAACGAUGCCCUCAUAUCGACGCUGAAUGUAUGCAGCUCUCAAAAUCCUUAAAAAACAGAAGUGCACUGUUCCAUUCUGGAGGAACAUUUUCUGUGACUGGGAAGUCUUGGCAUGUGGCCAUCUUCUGCUCUAUUUUGACUACAACUUCAGCAACAAAGUUUAACCAGGGAGAGACCUGUUUAGCAUCGGAACGAUUUUUGAGCAAAUACACGAUCCUCCAUCCUUGUGCUUUUGUUCUGCUCAGACACUGUGGGAAAGAACAAGGGAACGCUAUCAAGCUUUACUUUCUGAAGGUCUCAUCUGCAUGCUGUGGUUUGGUCACCUUCUGGCAGAUUCAACUUCUUGUAGACAAAGUAAAGAAGGUUUGAUCUCUCCAUCUCCUGCAAUCCUGUUUCUUUGGGCUAAAACUCCAACAUUCCAUGCAUUAUGAAAAAGACCUCUGGAACAACACUGGAAUUUUUGCAAACAACUACCAAAGAUGUCAUGCUUGCUUCAAACUGCUUGUAGGUGAAACAACAGCUGGAUGAGAAGUACAGUAAACAGCCAGUCUUCUGUGUCAACAAGACCUAUUUCCUCUGCCUUGGGACAGAAGCCGAAUGACAUGUGAGCUAGCAGAUACACGGGCUGAUGUGUCUUGCAUUGCUAUAGGAUCUGGACUGCAUUGGAAAAAUUCUUGAUCCACUUCAGUAAACUAAAACAACAGCUUUUCUGUCAAAUUCAGAGGAAAAAGUACAAGAAAAAAUGAGGAUUUAUCGCCAUCUGGAGGGGAUCUCAGCGGUGCUGCCCUGCAAGUGCAUCAGGAUGCUGCAGCAAUGGCAUUACUGCGGUCUCCAGAAUGUCUGUAAGGGACACAGCCCUCAUCGUGCUGCUCUCCCCACAGCUUUUUCUGUUCCUCUGGCACCCAAUGAAGAUCUGCCAUGAGGAUGGUUUCACUGAGCACCAGGGACCACCGGUGAAGACCUGUAGACAUCCUCUCUUUACCAGAACACAACUAAUGAUGGCCCUGUAAUUGGGACUGGGAAGAAAAUUGGAACUGGGAAGACCCUACUAGGAAGAAAACCAGCAAAAUUAUGAGCUGCGUGCUGCAGUUGAUAAGCUCCCUUGGAUACACCAACAACUCAGCCAGCCUCUGCCAUCACUGCAGUCAAACUCACAACUCAGCCAUUGUUGCCCAAAGGCAUCCAAGGUCUCCACGAACUCCAGAGCAUCACCCCAGCUCCUGGUGUGUCAUCUCUAGCAGUGGCUCACACUGACUCGUCUUCCAGGGCUGAAGCAAGGCCUCCAAGCAUCCUCCUACUGUUAUUCCAAGCGGAAAAUGAGCAGGAGAAAGCAGGUGCCGUUACAACAAAAGCUGUUCCUUCUUUAUCCCACUACCUUUAGUGUGGAGGCUGAAGUACAACAUGUCAGCCAGAGAUGCUGCAGUCUGAGUAGAAGAGAGCUGAUCCAUGACACAGAUGAACAGAGACACUACAAAAGAAAGUAAGUUUCUUUGUAUUACAGUCUUUCUUUAUAAAAUAUUGUACUUUACUUUACCUAAUCUACUCAGUCAAGUACAAAAGUAUAUAUAAUAGGUGGCUGAGCAGAGGAUAUUACAUUACAUGACAUCCUUCACUUGUGUUAAUGACUCCGUAUUGUGUUUUGCACAAAGUGGAGAGCAGUGGAUAGCAGAUAAUACCAUUAAAAAUAUAUAUUAUUGGCUACAUUUCUUAAAAGGACAAAGGGAAGAUAGAGCCUGUUUAUGCAAAGAGCUGGUUUUCUCAGGUUCUAAAUGAGCUGUGACAACAUGUCGUCCUUUGGGAGAUAUUUUAUUGGGCAACAGAUCAGUGUUGGAGGUCAAAAGAGCAACAGCAAUAGAUGCAUCAUGUUCCCUGGAGCUCCCUGGGGGCAGAUUGGGACAAUAGUUAGAAAACUGCAAAGUCUGUGGGAAUAAAACACUUGCUGUUAUUGUGCUUCUCUCUUUUGUGUUUCUUUUUCAUAUCAUAUAUCUUAAUGAGAGAAGGACCCAUACACGAUACUGGUGGGAUGGUGAAUAAAAUGGUACAGGACAGCUUUAAGCUCUUCAGAAUGAAAAUAUAUUGAAAAGGUGGGUUUGCAUAUCAACAAUGGCAACUAAAAUUGAUGGAAAAGCCAGCAGAGAAAUAGCACUGCUAUUCCCACUUCAGACCUCACUGUCAGAGACUUGAUCUUCAAGUGGAGAUGAGAAAAUAUCCUUGCUCCACUUUAGUGGUUUAGUGAAACUGUGGGUUUUAAAUACUCUUUUUGUUUUAAGGAAAACAAGUCUGAGCAUUUUCUGUCUUGGAAUAAGCUGGGCACACACUAAAACAAGUUACCUGUGAUGUGGUGGUAUUAAAUUUAUCAUACAGUGUUUGGGUUUUGGUUUUUUUAAUUGCUGUUAUGCUGAAGACAAGAUAAAUAGGUGUGUUCUUAGCAGGAUUUAAGUAAAGAAUUGAGGUUGACUGGCAGCUCAUUUUAGGAAUGGGAGAAUGAACGUUAAAAAAACCCCACAUACAGAAGAUGGAAUGUAAGAGACUUCUAGUGAAUACAUGAUUUCCAACAGAAGUUUGUCACUUCCAGAUUUUCACCAUCACUACUGGUGUAAACAACAAAAGGGCUUUUUUAACUAAGAAAUUUCAGGUGUACAAUUGCCGAGCAUAAUUAGUUACUGUGACUAGACUGCUAAUUACUAGACAGGAGCCCGAAUCAAAGGCUUAGAUCUGUACAAAACCAAUGAAUUCGUCUCGUGACAGAUGCACAGGUUUCACUGUGUGUAUCCUAGUCAACCUGUCACCAACCCCAUCUGUUCUAUCUGCCUCUGAAAAAUGAACAACACUCAGCACAUAGCACCGCUUGUUUGAGUUUUACUAGUUUUAUCCAGCCUGGACUAAGGAAGCCCUUUUGUGAGAUGAUAAGGCUGA